AGAGUUUGAUCCUGGCUCAGAAUGAACGCUGGCGGCGUGCUUAACACAUGCAAGUCGAACGAGAAAGUCCGGAGCUUGCUUUGGACGAGUAAAGUGGCGCACGGGUGAGUAACGCGUGGGUAAUCUACCUUUGAAUCUGGGAUAACACUUCGAAAGGGGUGCUAAUACCGGAUAACAUCUUUUCUAUUGCGGUGGGAAAGAUCAAAGAUGGCCUCUUCUUGAAAGCUAUUGUUUGAAGAUGAGCCCGCGUACCAUUAGCUUGUUGGUGGGGUAAAGGCCUACCAAGGCGACGAUGGUUAGCUGGUCUGAGAGGAUGAUCAGCCACACUGGAACUGGAACACGGUCCAGACUCCUACGGGAGGCAGCAGUGAGGAAUUUUGCGCAAUGGGGGAAACCCUGACGCAGCAACGCCGCGUGAGUGAUGAAGGCUUUCGGGUCGUAAAGCUCUGUCAAGUGGGAAGAAGUUGUGUAUGGCUAAUAUCUGUGCACAUGACGUACCACUAAGA
rnacentral:rRNA from 1 species